CCUACGGGUGGCAGCAGUGGGGAAUAUUGCGCAAUGGACGAAAGUCUGACGCAGCGACGCCGCGUGAGGGAUGAAGGUUUUCGGAUCGUAAACCUCUGUCAGGAGGGAAGAAAGGCGUCCACGUGUGGACUGAUGAGUGUACCCGAAGAAAAAGCAUCGGCUAACUCCGUGCCAGCAGCCGCGGUAAUACGGAGGAUGCGAGCGUUAUCCGGAUUUAUUGGGUUUAAAGGGUGCGUAGGCGGACAGUCAAGUCAGCGGUAAAAAUGUGGUGCUCAACGCCGUACAGCCGUUGAAACUGGCAGUCUUGAGUGGGCGAGAAGUAUGCGGAAUGCGUGGUGUAGCGGUGAAAUGCAUAGAUAUCACGCAGAACUCCGAUUGCGAAGGCAGCAUACCGGCGCCCUACUGACGCUGAGGCACGAAAGCGUGGGUAUCGAACAGGAUUAGAUACCCGGGUAGUC
rnacentral:rRNA from 1 species